AUUGAACGCUGGCGGCAGGCCUAACACAUGCAAGUCGAACGAGUGGCGGAGGGGUGAGUAAUGUCUGGAAAACUGCCUGAUGUACGGGGGUAACUACUGGAAAAGGUAGAUAAUACCGCAUACCAUCGGAUGUGCCCAGAGGGGAUUAGGUAGUGGGUGGGGUAAAGGCGCACCUAGGCGACGAUCCCUAGCUGGUCUGAGAGGAUGACCAGCCACACUGGGACUGAGAAACGGUCCAGACUCCUACGGGAGGCAGCAGUGGGGAAUAUUGCACAAUGGGCGAAAGCCUGAUGCAGCAACGCCGCGUGUAUGAAGAAGGUCUUCGGGUUGUAAAGUACUUUCAGCGGGGAGGCGUUACCCACAGAGGAAGCACCGGCUAACUCCGUGCCAGCAGCCGCGGUAAUUC
rnacentral:rRNA from 1 species